rnacentral:rRNA from 1 species
AUUGAACGCUGGCGGCAGGCCUAACACAUGCAAGUCGAACGAGUGGCGGACGGGUGAGUAAUGUCUGGGAAACUGCCCGCUGGAGGGGGGUAACUACUGGAAACGGUAGCUCAUACCGCAUACCAUCGGAUGUGCCCAGAUGGGAUUAGCUAGUAGGUGGGGUAACGGCUCACCUAGGCGACGAUCCCUAGCUGGUCUGAGAGGAUGACCAGCCACGCUGGAACUGAGACACGGUCCAGACUCCUACGAGAGGCAGCAGUGGGGAAUAUUGCACAAUGGGCGCAAGCCUGAUGCAGCCAUGCCGCGUGUAUGAAGAAGGCCGUCGGGUUGUAAAGUACUUUCAGCGAGGAGGCGUUACUCGCAGAAGAAGCACCGGCUAACUCCGUGCCAGCAGCCGCGGUAAUAC